UACAGAGGUCCCAAGCGUUGUUCGGAUUCACUGGGCGUAAAGGGUGCGUAGGUGGCUUGGUAAGUUCGAUGUGAAAUCUCCGGGCUUAACCCGGAAAUGGCAUUGAAUACUAUUGAGCUGGAGGUUUGGAGGGGGGACUGGAAUUCUCGGUGUAGCAGUGAAAUGCGUAGAUAUCGGGAGGAACACCUGUGGCGAAAGCGGCGCACUGGACCAUAACUGACGCUGAUGCGCGAAAGCUAGGGGAGCAAACAGG
rnacentral:rRNA from 1 species